rnacentral:rRNA from 1 species
GAUGAACGCUGGCGGCGUGCCUAAUACAUGCAAGUCGAGCAAACAGAUGAGGAGCUUGCUCCUCUGACGUUAGCGGCGGACGGGUGAGUAACACGUGGAUAACCUACCUAUAAGACUGGGAUAACUUCGGGAAACCGGAGCUAAUACCGGAUAAUAUAUUGAACCGCAUGGUUCAAUAGUGAAAGACGGUUUUGCUGUCACUUAUAGAUGGAUCCGCGCCGCAUUAGCUAGUUGGUAAGGUAACGGCUUACCAAGGCAACGAUGCGUAGCCGACCUGAGAGGGUGAUCGGCCACACUGGAGCUGAGACACGGUCCAGACUCCUACGGGAGGCAGCAGUAGGGAAUCUUCCGCAAUGGGCGAAAGCCUGACGGAGCAACGCCGCGUGAGUGAUGAAGGUCUUCGGAUCGUAAAACUCUGUUAUUAGGGAAGAACAAAUGUGUAAGUAACUAUGCACGUCUUGACGGUACCUAAUCAGAAAGCCACGGCUAACUACGUG